rnacentral:rRNA from 1 species
UACGUAGGGUGCGAGCGUUGUCCGGAAUUACUGGGCGUAAAGCGCGUGUAGGCGGCUCGGUAAGUGGGUCGUGAAAGCGCCCGGCUAAACUGGGCGAGGACGAUCGAGACUGCCAGGCUAGAGGGUGGUAGAGGGACAGGGAAUUCCGGGUGUAGCGGUGAAAUGUGUAGAGAUCCGGAGGAACACCAGUGGCGAAGGCGCUGUCCUGGGCCACCUCUGACGCUGAUACGCGAAGGCGUGGGGAGCGAACGGG